rnacentral:rRNA from 1 species
CCUACGGGAGGCAGCAGUGAGGAAUAUUGGUCAAUGGCCGGAAGGCUGAACCAGCCAAGCCGCGUGAAGGACGAAGGUGCCAAGCAUUGUAAACUUCUUUUGUCAAGGGACAAAAUCAGGCUCGAGAGCCUGACCGAGGGUACUUGAAGAAAAAGCAUCGGCAAACCCCGUGCCAGCAGCCGCGGUAAUAAGGGGGAGGGGAGGUUUAUCCGGAUUUAUUGGGUUUAAAGGGUGCGUAGGCGGACUGUUAAGUCAGCGGUAAAAGCCCGGGGCUCAACCCCGGCGAGCCGUUGAAACUGGCUGUCUUGAGAUGUCGAGAGGUAUGUGGAAUGCGCAGUGUAGCGGUGAAAUGCUUAGAUAUUGCGCAGAACUCCGAUUGCGAAGGCAGCAUACCGGCGGCGAUCUGACGCUGAGGCACGAAAGCGUGGGUAGCGAACAGGAUUAGAUACCCGAGUAGUC